UAAUACGUAGGUGGCAAGCGUUGUCCGGAAUUAUUGGGCGUAAAGCGCGCGCAGGCGGUUCCUUAAGUCUGAUGUGAAAUCUCGCGGCUCAACCGCGAGCGGCCAUUGGAAACUGGGGAACUUGAGUGCAGGAGAGGGGAGCGGAAUUCCACGUGUAGCGGUGAAAUGCGUAGAGAUGUGGAGGAACACCAGUGGCGAAGGCGGCUCUCUGGCCUGUAACUGACGCUGAGGCGCGAAAGCGUGGGGAGCGAACAGGAUUAGAUACCCUGGUAGUCCACGCCGUAAACGAUGAGUGCUAAGUGUUAGAGGGUAUCCACCCUUUAGUGCUGCAGCAAACGCAUUAAGCACUCCGCCUGGGGAGUACGGCCGCAAGGCUGAA
rnacentral:rRNA from 1 species